GCCAGCAUGGCAUAGUGGUUUGAGUGUUGGACUAACACUUUGGAGACCAUGGUUUGAUUCUCUGCUCUGCCA